AGUGAACGCUGGCGGUAGGCCUAACACAUGCAAGUCGAACGGCAGCACAGUAAGAGCUUGCUAUUACGGGUGGCGAGUGGCGGACGGGUGAGGAAUACAUCGGAAUCUACUUUUUCGUGGGGGAUAACGUAGGGAAACUUACGCUAAUACCGCAUACGACCUACGGGUGAAAGCAGGUGAUCUUCGGACCUUGCGCGAUCGAAUGAGCCGAUGUCGGAUUAGCUAGUUGGCGGGGUAAAGGCCCACCAAGGCGACGAUCCGUAGCUGGUCUGAGAGGAUGAUCAGCCACACUGGAACUGGGACACGGUCCAGACUCCUACGGGAGGCGGCAGUGGGGAAUAUUGGACAAUGGGCGCAAUCCUGAUCCAGCCAUACCGCGUAGGUGAAGAAGUCCUUCGGGUUGCAAAGCCCUUUUGUUGGGAAAGAAAAGCAGCAGGUUAAUACCCCGCUGUUCUGACGGUACCCAAAGAAUAAGCACCGGCUAACUUCGUG
rnacentral:rRNA from 1 species